AAUCAAUGUUUAGGCAAAUGGUGCAACUGGCCCUUAGAAAUUUAAUUUUCGAUUCCUGUUUUUAGAUACAGACAUCGACUUAUUGUUAUUAAUUUCAAUAUAUAGAGAAAGAAAAUCAAAUCUUAUAUCUGUACUCACAUUAUUCAAAUUUUGUGGUGGCAAUAGUGCUUGAGCAAUAGAUAAAUUUAGAAUAGAUGCCAAUAAACCCAUAAAACUAUUACAUGCAGCGGCAAGUUCAUCUUGUUCGGCCAGAAGUUCCCAAACAACUGGUAUGAGAGAUGAGGCCGCAACUGCUCCAACAUCAUCCACUGGAUCUGACAAUCCAUUCAAAAUAUGAGGAAAUGAUUGUGGCAGUAAUAAAUUAUUUAUAUCUGAAACAAAAUAAUCAGCUCAAAAUACAAGCG